rnacentral:rRNA from 1 species
UUCUGUAAGCCUGCGAAGGUGGCCUGUGAGGGUUGCUGGAGGUAUCAGAAGUGCGAAUGCUGACAUAAGUAACGAUAAAGCGGGUGAAAAGCCCGCUCGCCGGAAGACCAAGGGUUCCUGUCCAACGUUAAUCGGGGCAGGGUGAGUCGACCCCUAAGGCGAGGCCGAAAGGCGUAGUCGAUGGGAAACGGGUUAAUAUUCCCGUACUUGGUGUUACUGCGAAGGGGGGACGGAGAAGGCUAUGUUGGCCGGGCGACGGUUGUCCCGGUUUAAGCGUGUAGGUGUGUGUUCCAGGUAAAUCCGGUUCACUUUAACACUGAGGCGUGACGACGAGGCACUACGGUGCUGAAGCAACAAAUGCCCUGCUUCCAGGAAAAGCCUCUAAGCAUCAGGUAACAUCAAAUCGUACCCCAAACCGACACAGGUGGUCAGGUAGAGAAUACCAAGGCGCUUGAGAGAACUCGGGUGAAGGAACUAGGCAAAAUGGUGCCGUAACUUCGGGAGAAGGCACGCUGACACGUAGGUGAAGUGAUUUACUCACGGAGCUGAAGUCAGUCGAAGAUACCAGCUGGCUGCAACUGUUUAUUAAAAACACAGCACUGUGCAAACACGAAAGUGGACGUAUACGGUGUGACGCCUGCCCGGUGCCGGAAGGUUAAUUGAUGGGGUCAGCGCAAGCGAAGCUCCUGAUCGAAGCCCCGGUAAACGGCGGCCGUAACUAUAACGGUCCUAAGGUAGCGAAAUUCCUUGUCGGGUAAGUUCCGACCUGCACGAAUGGCGUAAUGAUGGCCAGGCUGUCUCCACCCGAGACUCAGUGAAAUUGAACUCGCUGUGAAGAUGCAGUGUACCCGCGGCAAGACGGAAAGACCCCGUGAACCUUUACUAUAGCUUGACACUGAACAUUGAGCCUUGAUGUGUAGGAUAGGUGGGAGGCUUUGAAGCGUGGACGCCAGUCUGCGUGGAGCCGACCUUGAAAUACCACCCUUUAAUGUUUGAUGUUCUAACGUGGACCCGUGAUCCGGGUUGCGGACAGUGUCUGGUGGGUAGUUUGACUGGGGCGGUCUCCUCCUAAAGAGUAACGGAGGAGCACGAAGGUUGGCUAAUCCUGGUCGGACAUCAGGAGGUUAGUGCAAUGGCAUAAGCCAGCUUGACUGCGAGCGUGACGGCGCGAGCAGGUGCGAAAGCAGGUCAUAGUGAUCCGGUGGUUCUGAAUGGAAGGGCCAUCGCUCAACGGAUAAAAGGUACUCCGGGGAUAACAGGCUGAUACCGCCCAAGAGUUCAUAUCGACGGCGGUGUUUGGCACCUCGAUGUCGGCUCAUCACAUCCUGGGGCUGAAGUAGGUCCCAAGGGUAUGGCUGUUCGCCAUUUAAAGUGGUACGCGAGCUGGGUUUAGAACGUCGUGAGACAGUUCGGUCCCUAUCUGCCGUGGGCGCUGGAGAACUGAGGGGGGCUGCUCCUAGUACGAGAGGACCGGAGUGGACGCAUCACUGGUGUUCGGGUUGUCAUGCCAAUGGCACUGCCCGGUAGCUAAAUGCGGAAGAGAUAAGUGCUGAAAGCAUCUAAGCACGAAACUUGCCCCGAG